GGUUAAGCGACUAAGCGUACACGGUGGAUGCCCUGGCAGUCAGAGGCGAUGAAGGGCGUGCUAAUCUGCGAUAAGCGCCGGUAAGGUGAUAUGAACCGUUAUAACCGGCGAUACCCGAAUGGGGAAACCCAGUGUGACUCGUCACACUAUCAUUAACUGAAUCCAUAGGUUAAUGAGGCGAACCGGGGGAACUGAAACAUCUAAGUACCCCGAGGAAAAGAAAUCAACCGAGAUUCCCCCAGUAGCGGCGAGCGAACGGGGAGGAGCCCAGAGCCUGAAUCAGCAUGUGUGUUAGUGGAAGCGUCUGGAAAGGCGCGCGAUACAGGGUGACAGCCCCGUACACAAAAGCGCAC
rnacentral:rRNA from 1 species